UUCAAGCGAGUGGCGAACGGGUGAGUAACACGUGGAUAACCUGCCUCAAGGCUGGGGAUAACAUUUGGAAACAGAUGCUAAUACCGAAUAAAACUUAGUAUCGCAUGAUAUAAAGUUAAAAGGCGCUACGGCGUCACCUAGAGAUGGAUCCGCGGUGCAUUAGUUAGUUGGUGGGGUAAAGGCUUACCAAGACAAUGAUGCAUAGCCGAGUUGAGAGACUGAUCGGCCACAUUGGGACUGAGACACGGCCCAAACUCCUACGGGAGGCUGCAGUAGGGAAUCUUCCACAAUGGGCGCAAGCCUGAUGGAGCAACGCCGCGUGUGUGAUGAAGGCUUUCGGGUCGUAAAGCACUGUUGUAUGGGAAGAAAUGCUAAAAUAGGGAAUGAUUUUAGUUUGACGGUACCAUACCAGAAAGGGACGGCUAAAUACGUGCCAGCAGCCGCGGUAAUACGUAUGUCCCGAGCGUUAUCCGGAUUUAUUGGGCGUAAAGCGAGCGCAGACGGUUGAUUAAGUCUGAUGUGAAAGCCCGGAGCUCAACUCCGGAAUGGCAUUGGAAACUGGUUAACUUGAGUGUUGUAGAGGUAAGUGGAACUCCAUGUGUAGCGGUGGAAUGCGUAGAUAUAUGGAAGAACACCAGUGGCGAAGGCGGCUUACUGGACAACAACUGACGUUGAGGCUCGAAAGUGUGGGUAGCAAACAGGAUUAGAUACCCUGGUAGUCCACACCGUAAACGAUGAAUACUAGGUGUUAGGAGGUUUCCGCCUCUUAGUGCCGAAGCUAACGCAUUAAGUAUUCCGCCUGGGGAGUACGACCGCAAGGUUGAAACUCAAAGGAAUUGACGGGGACCCGCACAAGCGGUGGAGCAUGUGGUUUAAUUCGAAGCAACGCGAAGAACCUUACCAGGUCUUGACAUCCUUUGAAGCUUUUAGAGAUAGAAGUGUUCUCUUCGGAGACAAAGUGACAGGUGGUGCAUGGUCGUCGUCAGCUCGUGUCGUGAGAUGUUGGGUUAAGUCCCGCAACGAGCGCAACCCUUAUUGUUAGUUGCCAGCAUUCAGUUGGGCACUCUAGCGAGACUGCCGGUGACAAACCGGAGGAAGGCGGGGACGACGUCAGAUCAUCAUGCCCCUUAUGACCUGGGCUACACACGUGCUACAAUGGCGUAUACAACGAGUUGCCAACCUGCGAAGGUGAGCUAAUCUCUUAAAGUACGUCUCAGUUCGGACUGCAGUCUGCAACUCGACUGCACGAAGUCGGAAUCGCUAGUAAUCGCGGAUCAGCACGCCGCGGUGAAUACGUUCCCGGGUCUUGUACACACCGCCCGUCACACCAUGGGAGUUUGUAAUGCCCAAAGCCGGUGGCCUAACCUUCGGGAGGAGCCGUCUAAGCAGACAGAGCC
rnacentral:rRNA from 1 species